rnacentral:rRNA from 1 species
AGCGAACGCUGGCGGCAGGCCUAACACAUGCAAGUUGAACGAACUCUUCGGAGUUAGUGGCGGACGGGUGAGUAACACGUGGGAACGUGCCUUUAGGUUCGGAAUAACUCAGGGAAACUUGUGCUAAUACCGAAUGUGCCCUUCGGGGGAAAGAUUUAUCGCCUUUAGAGCGGCCCGCGUCUGAUUAGCUAGUUGGUGAGGUAAAGGCUCACCAAGGCUACGAUCAGUAGCUGGUCUGAGAGGAUGACCAGCCACAUUGGGACUGAGACACGGCCCAAACCCCUACGGGGGGCAGCAGUGGGGAAUCUUGCGCAAUGGGCGAAAGCCUGACGCAGCCAUGCCGCGUGGAUGAUGAAGGUCUUAGGAUUGUAAAAUCCUUUCACCGGUGAAGAUAAUGACUGUAGCCGGAGAAGAAGCCCCGGCUAACUUCGUGCCAGCCGCCGCAGUAACAC